rnacentral:rRNA from 1 species
GAUGAACGCUGGCGGCGUGCCUAAUACAUGCCAGUCGAGCGAACAGACGAGGAGCUUGCUCCUCUGACGUUAGCGGCGGACGGGUGAGUAACACGUGGAUAACCUACCUAUAAGACUGGGAUAACUUCGGGAAACCGGAGCUAAUACCGGAUAAUAUAUUGAACCGCAUGGUUCAAUAGUGAAAGACGGUUUUGCUGUCACUUAUAGAUGGAUCCGCGCCGCAUUAGCUAGUUGGUAAGGUAACGGCUUACCAAGGCAACGAUGCGUAGCCGACCUGAGAGGGUGAUCGCCCACACUGGAACUGAGACACGGUCCAGACUCCUACGGGAGGCAGCAGUAGGGAAUCUUCCGCAAUGGGCGAAAGCUUGACGGAGCAACGCCGCGUGAGUGAUGAAGGUCUUCGGAUCGUAAAACUCUGUUAUUAGGGAAGAACAAAUGUGUAAGUAACUAUGCACGUCUUGACGGUACCUAAUCAGAAAGCCACGGCUAACUACGUG